rnacentral:tRNA from 1 species
UAUAUGUUAGUGUAAAUGCACAAAAAGCUUUGAUCUUUUUAGUUUUGGUGAAAAUCCUUUACGUAUAA